AGCUACGCAGCGGGAGGCAGAGGACGGGGCUCUCUGGCGUGGGCUCGCCCCUCCAGCUGGCCCAGGAUUCCGACCCGGGGAGGCUGACCACUCGGGUAAAGAAGAAAUUCAGGAACUGGCUCCGGGUGGCCGGCACUCCUGGAGGCCUCUGAGCCUUCUUCUGUUGCUGUACCUGUGGCUGGACCAUUUCCCAGAAACGGUGUGGGGACAUUUCUGAGGACGUCCUCUCCGGCCGCAGUGGGGACAGUCAACGACCCCGCGCUCCUUGCCCACGCCGCUCCCUGGAUCCGCACGCCGGGCCCUUCGGAUCAGACCGGGGCCAUCUGCCCCGCUUUCCCGGGAGGGGUCUGCGCCCGGAGAGGCGGAGGCCGGGCCCCGCGUCAGUCACCAGCGAGGCUGGGGUGGGCCCCGCCGGGAGGCCGAGGGUCACCGCGAGGGCGAGAGGGGACCCCGCGGGUCGGGCGCUGCUGGGAGCGCGCGGCCCCCCCCCCCCGCACCCCG